rnacentral:rRNA from 1 species
AACGAACGCUGGCGGCAUGCCUAACGCAUGCAAGUCGAACGAGACCUUCGGGUCUAGUGGCGCCCGGGUGCGUAACGCGUGGGAACCUGCCCUUAGGUUCGGAAUAACUCCCCGAAAGGGGUGCUAAUACCGGAUAAUGUCUUCGGACCAAAGAUUUAUCGCCUUUGGAUGGGCCCGCGUUGGAUUAGCUAGUUGGUAGGGUAAAAGCCUACCAAGGCGACGAUCCAUAGCUGGUCUGAGAGGAUGAUCAGCCACACUGGGACUGAGACACGGCCCAGACUCCUACGGGAGCAGCAGUGGGGAAUAUUGGAAAAUGGGCGAAAGCCUGAUCCAGCAAUGCCGCGUGAGUGAUGAAGGCCUUAGGGUUGUAAAGCUCUUUUACCCGGGAUGAUAAUGACAGUACCGGGAGAAUAAGCUCCGGCUAACUCCGUG